CUUCUGUGAGGAGGUGAUUAGACUGUGCCUACAGUCUUCUGCAAAGGUCUUCACAAAGGUUCUCCCGAGACACCUGAUGCUCUUCUGUCCCUUGACCCUGGGCUCCAGCAACGCUUUCAGCAUGACAGCCCUCUGACUUACACACCUGCCGCUCGGCUGAGAUGUUCAGAUGAGAAAAACUGAAGUCUGACACCUUAAAUGGUUUUCCCAAGGUGGCUCAGACCAGAGUCUGGGUUGUAAAUCACAGCACUGACUUCCACCAAGUGGAAUAGAACUCAUCAAAUGAUGCAGAUUCAGGCAGUAACUUGGAAUGGUGACUCAAGCCGCAGCACUGAAUGAUUCUGAUUAGAACACACCUCUUUGGGUCAGGAGAGCUCUGACCCUACACCUGCCCUAACUAGACCCUGAUACCCGUGGCAGAUGGCUGGCGACAGGAGGGCAGGAAGUAUAGGCGGGGCUACCAGACAAGGAGAAUGCUGGGAAGAGGAAGACAGAGAGGAGCCUCCAGAGAGACACUGUGUAGCUACCGGAGAGACAGGAUGCCAGGCAUUCUCUGGAGUCACCACCUAUGUUCUGAUGGGAUCUGAAGCUUGCUGCAGAAGCAGAGUUCACAUCUGGAACUGUAAACCCAAUCAAAAGCAGGUGGCUUGGGAAGUCCUGAAGAAGCUACCGCUGUUGUCCUGCUAAGGAGAUGCCAUGUGCCUUUUAAAUAACUAUGUUUUUGCCCAUAGACUAGCGCCACUGUCGGCUCUGGCCAGAGAAAUGUCAUUUUGCAGUUAAGAGUGGUGACUUCAGAGACAACUGGAAAAAGUGUUGAGAAUAAAUGGCUGUUGAGAGACUGUCAAACCUCUCUCUCUCUGUCUCUCUCUCUGUCUCUCUCUCUCUGUCUCUCUGUCUCUCUGUCUCUCUCUCAGAAAACAACUCAGAUGGAGCAGAAAGAAUGUAAGAGUGGCAGGAAGGGAUGGGGAGCAUAGGACAUGCUGACAUCGUGACAAGACAGUCACACUCCUGAGCUCACAGCAGGUGUGACUACAGAGCUGUCCUCGACUGUACUAGGCCUGUCAGCACCCUGUUAUGGGAAGGAAAGGGCUCAUGGGUGCCCAUCUCUCCCUGAAGAUGAUAGUUACUUAAUGGUUGCUGAGGAAGGGAGAGGAAUAUCCUUUAGUGGGGUACACUGGUAAGGUGACCAUGCUUCUGUAAGCAACCCUAAUAAAAGUCACUGAAACCCACGCAAAAAAAAAACACAUGAAAGCAGAUGAGAGGCUAUUAGGGAAGGGUAAUGAAUUAGUGAGGAAGAUGCAGGAAUGAGAGAGGGUGAUGGAGAAGCAAGUAUUAUCAAAAUAUAUUCAAUAUGUAUACAUAUAUAUGUAUGAAAG